AGUGAACGCUGGCGGCGUGCCUAAUACAUGCAAGUCGAACGAAGUGGCGCACGGGUGAGUAAUAUAUAGUUAAUCUGCCCUACACAGAGGAACAACAGUUGGAAACGACUGUUAAUACCUCAUAGUGUAGGAUGAGGCUAUAUCGUAUCAGCUAGUUGGUAAGGUAAUGGCUUACCAAGGGUAUGACGCGUAACUGGACGGAGAGGAUGAGCAGUAGCAUUGGAACUGAGACACGGUCCAAACACCUACGGGAAGCAGCAGUAAGGAAUAUUGCGCAAUGGGGGAGACCCUGACGCGGCAUCGCCGCGUGGAGGAUGACACUUUUCGGAGCGUAAACUCCUUUUAUCAGGAAAGCGGUACCUGAUGAAUAAGCACCGGCUAACUCCGUGCCAGCAGCCGCGGUAAUAC
rnacentral:rRNA from 1 species